UUGGAAGUGAUGAUCCUUUCCCCAGCUUAUCGACUAUGAUUAUACUGUGCGCUUUUUGUAAGUUUCUCUAUCAAGAGAAUCUGUCAAGCCAGAAUUCUGAUCCAA